rnacentral:lncRNA from 8 species
AUGACGAACCCUAACUCCGCCGCAUUUUGGUCCACUUCUUCCGUAGACAGCCGUUACAGAAUUACCCACCAAACCAGGACCAAGCGGCGGAAGAGGAAGGAGCAGCAGGACUACUGCGUUAUGGACAAAUGGACGUGGGAACAGAUCCUGGACGGAGAGGGACCAUGGACUCAGGCUGGGGAUUAUCGCCUCCCGCAGUGGGAGAUUGAAGCGGCGAGAGCGGAGAGGCGAUACUACGAGGAGAGAGAGCGCAACGAGCGCGAGAGGCAGCCCCAAGAUUUUUUUUGGGGGGGGCACACGGGACAGUCGGUGGAGCUGAGGUCGGAACCAGAGCCAGUCGGGAUGACAUUGGAGGUGAGCGAGGGUUAUGAGACAGAGACUGUGACGGGGUUAAUGGGAAAAUUAGGAGAGAGAGAGAUGAGAGAGCUGCUAGUGUGGUGCAUAAAGUACGGCAUUCGCCCUAAUGAGCGUGUCGUGGGUAUGAUGUCACCUGAGGCAGCUCUCCAUACUCGUCCUGAGGUGCGUGCUGGUUGUCUGGUAAAGACUGUGCCUGCGCCCAGAAACAGGCCUCCUGCAUGUCUUCCCAGCCCUGCACAUCCUGUACCUACGCCCAGAACCAAGCCUCCUGCAUGUCUUCCCAUCCUGGUCAAGCCCGUGCCUCCUCCACGGACCAGUCCUCCAGUGGGUCUCCCUAUCCUGGUCAAGCCCGUGUCUCCUCCACGGACCAGUCCUCCAGUGGGUCUCCCUAUCCUGGUCAAGCCCGUGUCUCCUCCACGGACCGGUCCUCCAGUGGGUCUUUCCACCCUGGUCUCUCCUGUGCCACCUCCUCAAACCAGGCCUCCAGCGGGCCUUCCCAGACUGGUGAGUCCAGGGCCUGCGCCCAGAGCCAGGCCUCCGUUAUGUCUCCCCAGCCUGGUGAAUCCUGAGUCGGAGCUACCCGCCAGUCAACAGUGGCCGGACUGCCCUGAACUGCCAGAGUGGCCGGACUGCCCUGAACUGCCAGAGUGGCCGGACUGCCCUGAACUGCCAGAGUGGCCGGACUGCCCUGAACUGCCAGAGUGGCCGGACUGCCCUGAACUGCCAGAGUGGCCGGACUGCCCCGAACUGCCAGAGUGGCCGGACUGCCCCGAACUGCCAGAGUGGCCGGACUGCCCCGAACUGCCAGAGUGGCCGGACUGCCCCGUUCUGCCAGAGUGGCCGGACUGCCCCGUUCUGCCAGAGUGGCCGGACUGCCCCGUUCUGCCAGAGUGGCCGGACUGCCCCGUUCUGCCAGAGUGGCCGGACUGCCCCGUUCUGCCAGAGUGGCCGGACUGCCCCGUUCUGCCAGAGUGGCCGGACUGCCCCGUUCUGCCAGAGUGGCCGGACUGCCCCGUUCUGCCAGAGUGGCCGGACUGCCCCGUUCUGCCAGAGUGGCCGGACUGCCCCGUUCUGCCAGAGUGGCCGGACUGCCCCGUUCUGCCAGAGUGGCCGGACUGCCCCGUUCUGCCAGAGGUGCCCGGCCUGUCAGGAUCAGCCCGAGUGGUCCUCCUGCCCUCCGGUCCAGCCCGAGUGGUCCUCCUGCCCUCCGGUCCAGCCCGAGUGGCCCGCGUGCCAUCCGGCCCAGCCCGAGUGGCCCGCGUGCCAUCCGGCCCAGCCCGAGUGGCCCGCGUGCCAUCCGGCCCAGCCCGAGUGGCCCGCGUGCCAUCCGGCCCAGCCCGAGUG